CAGGAAACAGCUUGCUGCUUCGCUGACGAGUGGCGGACGGGUGAGAAAGAGGGAACACUGCCUGAUGGAGGGGGAUAACUACUGGAAAGGUAGCUAAUACCGCAUAACGUCGCAAGACCAAAGAGGGGGACCUUCGGGCCUCUUGCCAUCGGAUGUGCCCAGAUGGGAUUAGCUAGUAGGUGGGGUAACGGCUCACCUAGGCGACGAUCCCUAGCUGGUCUGAGAGGAUGACCAGCCACACUGGAACUGAGACACGGUCCAGACUCCUACGGGAGGCAGCAGUGGGGAAUAUUGCACAAUGGGCGCAAGCCUGAUGCAGCCAUGCCGCGUGUAUGAAGAAGGCCUUCGGGUUGUAAAGUACUUUCAGCGGGGAGGAAGGGAGUAAAGUUAAUACCUUUGCUUAUUUUUUUUUACCCGCAGAAGAAGCACCGGCUAACUCCGUGCCAGCAGCCGCGGUAAUACGGAGGGUGCAAGCGUUAAUCGGAAUUACUGGGCGUAAAGCGCACGCAGGCGGUUUGUUAAGUCAGAUGUGAAAUCCCCGGGCUCAACCUGGGAACUGCAUCUGAUACUGGCAAGCUUGAGUCUCGUAGAGGGGGGUAGAACUCCAUG
rnacentral:rRNA from 1 species